rnacentral:rRNA from 1 species
UACGUAGGGGGCAAGCGUUGUCCGGAAUUAUUGGGCGUAAAGAGCUUGUAGGCGGUUUGUCGCGUCUGCUGUGAAAUUUCGGGGCUCAACCCCGAACUUGCAGUGGGUACGGGCAGGCUAGAGUGUGGUAGGGGGAGACUGGAAUUCCUGGUGUAGCGGUGAAAUGCGUAGAUAUUUGGGAGGAACACCGGUGGCGAAGGCGGCCCCCCUGGGCUGGUACUGACGCUGAUGCGCGAAAAGCGUGGGGUAGCAAACGGG